rnacentral:rRNA from 1 species
AUGAUUACGAAAAAAUGUAUCCCUAGCUUUCAUGGUUUUCAUGUGAUUAUAGGUACUCUUUUCUUGAUCGUAUGUGGUAUUCGCCAAUAUCUUGGUCAUCUAACCAAGAAGCAUCACAUUGGCUUUGAAGCAACUGCAUGGUACUGGCAUUUUGUAGACGUGGUUCGGUUAUUCCCAUUUGUCUCUAUCUAUUGGUGGGGAGGUAUAUGA